rnacentral:lncRNA from 1 species
GGAGAGUAUUAGAGGAGGUGGAGAGUAUUAUUAGAGAAGGUGGAGAGUAUUAGAGGAGGUGGAGAGUAUUAUUAGAGGAGGUGGAGAGUAUUAGAGGAGGUGGAGAGUAUUAGAGGAGGUGGAGAGUAUUAUUAGAGGAGGUGGAGAGUAUUAGAGGAGGUGGAGAGUAUUAGAGGAGGUGGAGAGUAUUAUUAGAGGAGGUGGAGAGUAUUAUUAGAGGAGAUGGAGAGUAUUAGAGGAAGUGGAGAGUAUUGUUAGAGGAGAUAUAGUAUUGUUAGAGGAGAUAUAGUUUUGUUAGAGGAGACAGAGAGUAUUAUCAGAGGAGAUGGGGGAGUAUUAUUAGAGGCAGAGCGUUUUGUUAGAGGAGAUAUAGUUUUGUUAGAGGAGGCAGAGCGUAUUAUCAGAGGCGGUGGAGAGUAUUAUUAACUUCUUCUGGACCGUUCCACGGGAUGGUUGAGCUAAUAUGUUUCCUUUCAAAUGG